AUGUUCACUGUUAUAUUCAUGGGUCUGUGGCUUUCACUAGGUGACUCCAUGGCAGAGUCAAUAAAGCCACUUUUCACUCAGACAGUGAGAGAUGAAGGCAGUGAUGUUACUCUGUCCUGCAGCUAUGACUUAAGUGGUACAAACAACUACUUGCAUUGGUACAGACAAUAUCCAAAAUCUAAACCUGAGUUCCUUCUUUAUAUUUACCAAAGUGGAGAUCUAAGUCCCAACAUUCCUCCAAGAAUGUCUGCUGAAGUUGAUGAAAAGAAGAAACAAGUGGAUCUGCUCAUCUCCUCUGCUGCUGUAUCAGACUCUGCACUAUACUACUGUGCUCUGCGGCCCACAGUGACAGGAAAUCCAACUGCACUGUACAAAAACUUUCACACAGUUUUGUUGUAUUGUUGGUUGUUCUGCUGA